rnacentral:rRNA from 1 species
GAAUUUAAACCUCUUCCAGAGUAUCAAUUGGAGGGCAAGUCUGGUGCCAGCAGCCGCGGUAAUUCCAGCUCCAAUAGCGUAUAUUAAAAUUGUUGCAGUUAAAAAGCUCGUAGUUGAAUUUCUGCUGCAUUGCUUUUGCUCCUUUACGAGUCUUUGCAUUGUGGCUUAUUUCGGACUUUGUUUUACAAUGUCCGGAUGUUUACUUUGAGAAAAUUAGAGUGCUCAAAGCAGGCUUUCGCCUUGAAUAGUUUAGCAUGGAAUAAUAAAGUAGGACUUUGGUUCUAUUUUGUUGGUUUUAGGUACCAAAGUAAUGGUUAAUAGGAACAGUUGGGGGCAUUCGUAUUUAACUGUCAGAGGUGAAAUUCUUAGAUUUGUUAAAGACGAACUACUGCGAAAGCAUUUGCCAAGGAUGUUUUCAUUAAUCAAGAACGAAAGUUAGGGGAUCGAAGACGAUCAGAUACCGUCGUAGUCCUAACCAUAAACUAUGCCGACUAGAGAUUGGAGGUCGUCAGUUUUUACGACUCCUUCAGCACCUU